UCGACAAGACCUAACAACCAGCGAGCAAAUCGUGUGUCCCUUUUCCCUCAACCUAUCUUGAAUUAUUCUCAGCCCAAUAAUUCUCAGCAGCCCUAAGCCCAUUCCCUUUCCCAGGCCCAUUUCCUUUUUUUUCCUUUCUUUUCUCUUCAAACAGCCCAUUUUCAGAUCCUUUGAAUGGCCCCUUCUUCAUCUCUUCCAACGAAACAAUGUCGCAACCAGCGAGCAAAUCGCGUGUCCCUGUCCCCUCAACCUUAUCCUCUCGUACAAGAGCCGUUCGAGAUUCGUGAGGUGUCAAAAUCUCGUAGCUUCAUCGUCCUUGCUCCAAGAUCGAACGGAUCCCCUCUCGCAUUCGUUGGAGAUUGCAGUACUGUUGACAGACCUUUCAAUGUUUUCUUUUCCAAGAAAUAUUUGAAUUUCGAAUUUAAAAUCCAAUCUUCUUCACCCGUCUUCCCCCCUUAAAAGUAUGCAUUUUUGCCUUCUAUAAAUACAUCCUUAGUUUUCAUUGAAAAAGGGGAGAAAACAUUAAUUUAAUUCCCGGCUCAUAGUGAUGGAGUUCUUCACGUAAAGCUCGUCGUCCUAGUCUUGCUGCUCCAAAGAAGUCACCAUGGACUCUUUCUCCUCUCCUUUGCACUUCAAAUUGAGCCAUGGGCUCAAUUAUUCCUAUCGAGUUGACCCCAUCAUUCGAAGGAAUUGGAAGCUGAGGCAGGUCCCGAAAGCACCCAAAAAAUGGUUUUAUACGAGAUGUAUACAUUCAUUACACAUAGAUAUGCAGGUCGAAAAAUGUGUAAUUAUAUGUCCAGGUGUUAGGAAGAAAGAGAUACAUAAAAAGAGCUGAUAUGUACGCUCAUAUACACUGAUAUACGUCCAGUAUAUAAGCAGAAGAGAAAAUGGUCUGGAACAAGUCCAAAUAGUGCGGCUGGCCCAAAGUUUCUUGGAAACAAUAGGCCCAAAGGACUAAAUCCUUCUCUCCCUCUCUUUAUCAUUUGAUUGCAUUGUUUUAUGGAAAAAUUACAUAAAUUAAUACAUUUUAAAAAAUAAUUAUUGAUUUUAGCUA